GUCUGUGUAGUAUAUAAAUUACACUGGUCUUGUAAGCCAGAAAUGGGGAUACAUCUCCCCCAAAGACU
rnacentral:tRNA from 2 species